rnacentral:tRNA from 1 species
UGUCCCAUGGUGUAAUGGUAGCACUGUAGUUUUUGGUACUGCCUGUCUAGGUUCGAAUCCUGGUGGGACAAC